GAUCCUGGAAUUUACCGCUUAUUUUCAUGGGGAAUCUCCCCUAUCCACCAGAUCUUGCUCGUGUUUGCUUCUUUCCACAAUCGCGAGCGACGGUUUGGUCUGAUGCGUUCGCUCAUCAAGUUAUAGCUAGGCGUAUGUGGAUGGAUGCCUUUCAGUGUAGUUGUUGGAUGGGCUUGUAGGAUCUUCUAGAUGCAAUGCGAAUGUCGCUGUGUGACAUCCGCUAGUUGUUCCACAAGGAUCCGUGUUUUCGCGGUACCGUCCGGGAUACAAAGUGGCAAACAUUUCAUGGGUAUGUUGAUAUGAGUUUGUCAAAACUGCACACUGUGGAUUAUUACUCCCUACUCUUUUAUUAUUUUGAAAAGGAAGGUGGAAGGAUUCUAUUGUGCAUCUAGAUGAUGCACACAGCCAUAAUUUAGUACAUUUGUUUCCUAAAAAAGAGAGUUACAUUUGGAAUACUGGCUGUGGCUACCAUCAGUAAGCAACCAUGUGUGAGAAAAAUGUGACAACAAACGCUUACGAACCAUAGUCCGUCAAACGAAACCAGUGACGGUCAGACCGAAAACACCUCGGAAGCAAGUCAACAUCUUCAUCUUCCAAAGUGAUGCCUGCAUGAAUGAGGAAGCGGUGCCACAUGCAGCGGACACAACUAAAAUGGAAGUUAUUGCAUGUGGUGGCACCAAGCAUGAGGCAACAACUGCAUUACUUUCAAGGAAGUUACAAAAUCUAUGGGUCUUCAUAAUCGUGACUUUCUUGCAAGUUGUGCAGUUGCUGUCUCAAGCUUGCUGACUCCGUCUGCCAGACCGCAAUGUGAAAUAGGAAAUUUAGUCAGGUUCUUUCUCUUGACCAGCAAAUCGUUUUUCAGAUGCAUUAAGAACUAGGCAAAGAUGACUGUCAAAGAAUUUGAGGAGCUUGUCCUCAAUGGCCACAAUUACCCUACAUGGCCUAUGGACAUCAAGAUCAGUCUUGCGUCCCGUGGGAUAGCGCGUGCAAUCCAGCCCCUGGAGACUCCUCUUUCGGCUGGAGCCACGCCGCUGACAGAACAACAGAAUUAUGCUGCCUUAUUCAUCAUAAGGCACCAUAUUCAUCCAGAUCUCAAGUCUGAGUAUUUACACGAGGAAUCUCCUAGUACUCUGUUUCUGGCCCUCAAAACGAGGUAUGAACAGCAGAAGGCAGUAUUCCUGCCAGAAGCACUUCAUGAUUGGACUCAUCUCCGCCUUCAGGAUUCAAGUCCAUUGGUGAGUACAAUCAUGCUGUUCAUAAGAUAUCUUCCCAACUGCGCUUCUAUGAGAAGGAACCUACUGAGGGGAGAAGAUAGAAAAAACUCUAUCUACGAUGCUCCCUUCAGACA